ACCACCGACAGGUUCUCGGCGCGUUGUUCCGCCAUCCUCCCUCAGCCACGCGGGGCGGGGCCGCUCGCGGCGCUUCCUCCUCAGCAACUGCCGCUGCUCGCGCGCAGAACCACUGAACACCAGAAAGGUGCCGGACCCACCAUCUGUUCUGAAGUUGCACAGAUGAUGGAAAUUAUACAUGUAAUGCAAAUAGGUGAGAGCUACACACAGCUACUGAAAAACCUGCCUGAAGUAAGCUGUAACAGCCCCUUCCAAGCAGUGCAGCUGUGUGUUACCGAUUACAAAUAUCUGGAACUGCAGAUUGCCAAAGUGAAGAGAAUAAAAAUAGUGCAUUGGCCUAUAUAAUAUGAAGACAUGUUAGAAAAAAUGUAAUGGUUGUGAAAACAUAGUCCAAACUAACUUUUAAUACUGUGCCACCUGUGCAGUAAAAUGUUAUGUAUUAUUAUUA